UGCUGCUUUAAGUGCCAAACAGACACUUCGCUGACUGGGCUGUGGUGACCCUUUCUCAAGAUUGAGGACCCUGGGAUGAAAGUCCUGCCCAUCAAGAUCUUCAGAUCAUUUGAAGACUGGCAACUUUGCAUUGUCCAGCAAAGCCAAUGUGGGGGCACUGUCUUCUGACAGUCCUACACUCACCAAGGCCCAGAGUCACCGUGGCUUCAAGCAUGGACAGGAACUGAAGGAGAGAAAUAGCAUUUUCCGCAUCAAGCAACUGGAACCAAGUUACGAAAGAUCCAUUCGUUCUUACUCUGGGGUUCAAUAAAGAAAUCGUGCUGCGGUCUUCAAUUCUGUUUGGGUCAAAGGUUAGCUCAGCUCCCGAAUAUUGGGUAAAUGCAGAGAAGUGGGCCAUUUUGCCAGCCCAUGGAUUUUCGCAGACAGUCACCUUCAAUCAUCCAGACAUAAAAUUUGUAGCUACAAUCACUUACAAGGAUAAAAUGAAGUAUAACGUCUAGUCGAUGCUCGUGCUGCUUAAGGGACUGUCAUACAGGAAGGUUCACUUUUGGAAGGUGCAAGAUGAAAAGCUUCGACUUCAUGUCUCCUUUUAACAACGCCUGCAACCUCUCAACUUAUGUGCCUCCCUCCGAAGGAAAAACCAUAGUCUGAAUAAUCCUAACUCACUCAUUUUCUCACGGCAAGAAAAAGAGUCUAUAACUCCUGGGUGAGGUAAUGAAGUAGGGCAGGCAUUGGUCAUCCUGACAGCAGUGACAUAGGGGAUUCUGGAAGCCAGCACGGUGGGAGCAGUACAGACUGUGACUUAUGAGAGAAGGCCAUUUCUGGAGGCACACCAAGAGAUGAAGAACAAUGCAUUGCAGUACUUAGAAGAGGAAUAUCCAUCCGAUGAAGCAGUGCCCUAUGACUUAUGAACACCUUCCAUCAGCUCGGAUACACUCUCCUGUUUCCCUCAGUGGUGCCUGAGUCACAGAUAGAAUGGCUGGCACAAGGUGUGGAGCACUUCACAUGUGAACAAGAUCUGUAGGCAGGGAGAAUAGGGCAGAUUCGCUAUCAGGGGCUUGAGGACAUCAACAGAUGUCAUUUAGACACAGAUGCUGAGCCUCAGCUGUUUUACACUACAUGAGUACUUAAAGGAAAUGUGUGGCUGUCUGUCAGAAUUUGCAUUGCUCAACCUCAUGCUAAAGUCUAUCACUGCAACGUAUUUGACAUUUGAGUACAUGACUGCCCCCAUUGAACAAAUGGCCACAUUCAUGGAGAGUCUGAUAUAAUACAUCAAUCAAUGCAUGUAUGUGCAUAACAAUGUAUUGUAUAGAAUGGUAGUGAAGUUGAGAAUCUAUGAUCGAAUAAUUGCCUUACCGGUUAAAUAUUGCUUUCAAAAGCAGCUCUUCUGCUGUUGAUUAGCAGAGAUAUGCACAUUAUUCCUGUUUUGGGGACCCUGGUAUGAAUCCCACCAUGUCAGAUUGUGAAGUUUGAAUUCAAUAAAAUCUGGACGAAGAGUCUGGCAAUGAUCGUGAAACUAUUGUCAAUUGUCAGAAAAACCAGUCUGGUUCACAAAUUUCCUUUAACGAAGAAAACUGUCAUCCUUACCUGGUCUGGCCUACAUGUGACUCCAGACCUAGUAAUAUGGUUGAUUCUUAACUGCACUCUGGGCAGUUAGGGAUAGGUAAUAAAUGCUGGUCUGGACAGUGCAUCCCGUUAACAAAUGUAAAAAACAAUUCCUGAGAGAGAAGAGAUAGGCAAGAACAAUUAAAGUGGGGCCUUUCUUCAGUUGCUUCAGUGGCCUUGGCCCCUCUGGAAGAGCCACAAAUAAUGCAUUCUAUUUUCAUAAUCACAGAAUCAGAAUUAUUACAGUGCACAAGGAGGCCAUUUGGCCUACGCUGCCUGCACCACCUCUAUUAUCUAGGGCCAAUCUCCUUCCUUUUCCCCACAACUCUGCAUACUGUUACCAUUCAAAAACCAUCUAAUACCCUCUUUAAUGCCUCAAUUGAACCUGCCUCCAACACAUUCCCAGGGAGUGCAUUUCAUGCCCUAACUACUCUCUGUGCAAUAAAGCUUUUCCUUACAUGACCCUUGCUUCAUUUGCACAUCAGAUUAACUCUAUGACCUCUCAUUCUCAUUCUUUUACAAGCAGAAAUAGCUUUGACCUAUCUACUCU